GGUUAAGCGAAUAAGCGUACACGGUGGAUGCCUAGGCAAUCAGAGGCGAUGAAGGACGUGCUAAUCUGCGAAAAGCGUCGGUAAGGUGAUAUGAACCGUUAUACCCGACGAUAUCCGAAUGGGGAAACCCAGUAUCCAAUGGAUACUAUCAUUAACUGAAUUCAUAGGUUAAUGAGGCGAACCGGGAGAACUGAAACAUCUCAGUACCCCGAGGAAAAGAAAUCAACCGAGAUUCCCCU
rnacentral:rRNA from 1 species